AUCCAGCUGACAAGUCCCGAAUAGGACGAAAUGUGCGUUCUGGAU
rnacentral:hammerhead_ribozyme from 1 species